UACGGAGGGUGCAAACGUUGCUCGGAAUCAUUGGGCGUAAAGCGCACGUAGGCGGCGCGCUGUGUCGGAUGUGAAAUCCCUCGGCUCAACCGAGGAAGUGCAUUCGAAACUGGCGUGCUUGAGUAUGGAAGAGGGUCGCGGAAUUCCCGGUGUAGAGGUGAAAUUCGUAGAUAUCGGGAGGAACACCAGUGGCGAAGGCGGCGACCUGGGCCAAUACUGACGCUGAGGUGCGAAAGCGUGGGGAG
rnacentral:rRNA from 1 species